ACAUGUCACUCUGUCCUUCAACAAAACACUGCGUUUUGCCUCGCCAAAAACCACGUAUCUACUACGCACACACACAGAGAUACGUGUGUGCGCGCAACCAAACACAAUCUCCGGCGGCUACAGCAUAAACGGCGAUCAAUCUCCGGACUCAUUUCGACGGCCAGAUUGUAAUCCCGACGUUGACUACGGACUUUGUCAGGACUUGAUAAUAUAUUCCAGUGACAAAUUUUCACAAUGAAGACAAGGGCUUCAUGGUUUUAGCUGGUGAUGUUUUUGAUGGGCCUAUUAGAAAGGAUAUUGUGCAUUGUGUUGUACUAUGGCAGCUUGCAAAACGACAACAGCCCAUGUCGAGGCUGUGGAUAGGAAUGUAUCUUCUGAAGAAGAGGUUGAUGUGAAUAACAACUUCAUUGAUCCCCAAGCAGAGGACCGAGAAUUAAAAGGUCAGCUUUUGUGCAAGUACAGUGGAUAUUUAGGCAGUCUGAAGCAGGACUUCAUGAAGAAAAGGAAGAAAGGGAAACUGCCUAAAGAAGCCAGGCAACAGUUGCUGGAUUGGUGGAGCAGGCAUUACAAAUGGCCUUACCCAUCGGCACCUAUAACCGUACGACUUUGUUAAUGCCCAUUAAUGUUGUUGUGCAUAAGUUUAAUGAACAAGAUUAAUUUGUCUGUGGAGAACUGUUUUGUUUCAAAAAAAAAAAAACAAAACCACUUGUUAGACUCUCCCUUGAUGAGUGAAGUCCAACAAAGUGGGAUUUGUGACUUUUUAAAUGAG